GGGGGAGUAUGGUCGCAAGGCUGGAAUUGACGGAAGGGCACAACCAGGAGUGGAGCCUGCGGCUUAAUUUGACUCAAUACGGGGAAACUUACCAGGUCCAGAAAUAGUAAGGAUUGACAGACUGAGAGCUCUUUCUUGAUUCUAUGGGUGGUGGUGCAUGGCAGUUCUUAGUUGGUGGAGCGAUUUGUCUGGUUAAUUCCGUUAACGAACGAGACGUCGGCCUGCUAACUAGCUACGUGGAGGCAUCCCUUCACGGCCGGCUUCUUAGAGGGACUAUGGCCGUUUAGGCCAAGGAAGUUUGAGGCAAUAACAGGUCUGUGAUGCCCUUAGAUGUUCUGGGCCGCAUGCGCGCUACAAUGAUGUAUUCAACGAGUUCACACCUUGGCCGACAAGCCCGGGUAAUCAUUGAAAUUUCAUCGUGAUGGGGCUAGAUCAUUCAAUUGUUGGUCUUCAACGAGGAAUUCCUAGAAAACACGAGUCAUCAGCUCGCGUUGACUACAUCCCUGCCCUUUGUACACACUGCCCGUCGCUCCUACCGAUUAAAUGAUCGGGUGAAGUGUUCGGAUCGCGGCGACGUGGGUGGUUUGCUGUCUGCGAUGUCGCGAGAAGACCACUAAACCUUAUCAUUUAGAGGAAGGCAAAGUCGUAACAAGGUUUCCGUAGGUGACCCUGCGGAAG
rnacentral:ncRNA from 1 species